rnacentral:rRNA from 1 species
GAGUUUGAUCAUGGCUCAGAACGUACGCUGGCGGCACGCCUAACACAUGCAAGUCGAACGAAGUAGCAAUACUUAGUGGCAGACGGGUGAGUAACAUGUAGGUAUCUGCCCUUUGGCCUGGAAUAACACGAGGAAACUUGUGCUAAUACCGGAUAAGUCUUUACGGAGAAAGCUUUAUGCACCAUUGGAUGAGCCUGCACUUGAUUAGUUUGUUGGUGGGGUAAUGGCCUACCAAGACUGUGAUCAAUAGCUGAUUUGAGAGGAUGAUCAGCCACAUUGGGACUGAGACACGGCCCAAACUCCUACGGGAGGCAGCAGUGGGGAAUCUUGCACAAUGGAGGAAACUCUGAUGCAGCGAUGCCGCGUGAGUGAAGAAGCCCCUUGGGUUGUAAAGCUCUUUCGUCGGGGAAGAAAAUGACUGUACCCGAAUAAGAAGGUCCGGCUAACUUCGUGCCAGCAGCCGCGGUAAUACGAAGGGACCUAGCGUAGUUCGGAAUUACUGGGCUUAAAGAGUUCGUAGGUGGUUGAAAAAGUUAGUGGUGAAAUCCCAGAGCUUAACUCUGGAACUGCCAUUAAAACUUUUCAGCUAGAGUAUGAUAGAGGAAAGCAGAAUUUCUAGUGUAGAGGUGAAAUUCGUAGAUAUUAGAAAGAAUACCAAUUGCGAAGGCAGCUUUCUGGAUCAUUACUGACACUGAGGAACGAAAGCAUGGGUAGCGAAGAGGAUUAGAUACCCUCGUAGUCCAUGCCGUAAACGAUGUGUGUUAGACGUUGGAAAUUUAUUUUCAGUGUCGCAGGGAGACCGAUAAACACACCGCCUGGGGAGUACGACCGCAAGGUUAAAACUCAAAUGACUUGACGGGGACCCGCACAAGUAGUGGAGCAUGUGGUUUAAUUCGAAGAUACGCGCAGAACCUUACCAACACUUGACAUGUUCGUCGCGACUUUAAGAGAUUAAAGUUUUCGGUUCGGCCGGACGAAACACAGGUGCUGCAUGGCUGUCGUCAGCUCGUGUCGUGAGAUGUUGGGUUAAGUCCCGCAACGAGCGCAACCCUCACUUUUAGUUGCCAUCAUUAAGUUGGGCACUCUGAAAGAACUGCCAGUGAUAAGCUGGAGGAAGGUGGGGAUGACGUCAAGUCCUCAUGGCCCUUACGUGUUGGGCUACACACGUGCUACAAUGGUAUCUACAACAGGAAGCAAGACUGCGAAGUUAAGCAAAUCCCUAAAAGAUACCUCAGUUCGGAUUGCACUCUGCAACUCGAGUGCAUGAAGCUGGAAUUACUAGUAAUCGUGGAUCAGCGUGCCACGGUGAAUGCGUUCCCGGGUCUUGUACACACCGCCCGUCACACCAUGGGAGUUGGUUCUACCUUAAGGCAAGGUUUCAAACCCUUGACCACGGUAUAGUCAGCGACUGGGGUGAAGUCGUAACAAGGUAACC